AACCGUUGUUUCCUUGAUUGGGUUUCAUGUGGUUGGUCAGGUUAUGUCAUGAGAAUUACAUUAAAGAGAAGAGUUAUGGGUUUGUGUGCCAGCUCUGAGCAGUGAGAAUGGUAGAAGGAGAGCAGUGGGGGUUGGCACGGUUUCUUUUGGCAGGAGAUGAGAAAUGCAGACUCCUGGGCACUCUACAUGUACCCUUCCACAUCAUUUGGCUUCCUUUCACCCUACCCUGGCAUCUGCUUUCUAGCCUCUGGAAAAGUACACAUGUGGAAAGCACCAUCAACCAAUUCUCUUUUGUAGUUCUUCACAUUUCUGGGACUUCAAGAAACCUUGAACUGCCAUCUCCUUCUCUCAGGAAAAAUCACCUCCGAGAACAACGUAAAAUCAGCUGUAAUUUUCAACAGAUUCCGAACCAGGAUUUGGAAAGGGACUUUGAAGAAACAAAUGCAUGUUGGGGAGAACCUCACCAGUGCAACACAGGAGAGGAAUAACUUUAAUUGCAGGCUCUAAGGCAGAGGUUCUCAAAAUGUUGCCCCUGAUGCAGCAUCAGCAUCACCUGGGAGAUAUUCUUUAUUUCACCUUAAAAAAAUAGAAACAUCAUACAACCACAAGAAUGAACUGACUAUAAUUACAUGCAAAACAUGGGUAGAUCUUACACAUAAUGUUGACCUAAAGAGGCUGGACACAAGAGUGAGAAACACUUCUUGUUUGCACGGAGCCUGUAAAUACCCUGUCAGCACAUUAGGAUCACCUGGGGAGCCUUAAAAAACUCACAAGCCUGGGCCCCAUUCCAACCAAUUAAAUCCUGAUCUAUGAUGGAUGAUGUGUGUGUGUGACAAAUUACGGGGAACAGUCACUACAAGGUAAUUAACACACAUCGACCUCUCCGUCUCCUUAAUGUGUUAAGCGUUGCACUGAAUUAAAAAUGAUGAUUCCUUUCUACCUGGAACUUGCUGCGUGGAGACUGAAAACCUCAGGGGCACCUCCGUGGUUUGGCUCAGCUCUUCAAGCAGGUGACCCAGGCUGGUGAGCCCACCCCUUUGCAUGCUGCAUCACCAGCCCUGUGCCUUCCCUCUCUGCCCCUCAGGGUCACUGCAGUCUCGGACCAUCUGGUCUGCAGAGCCUCCAGCCUUCUGGCCAUCUCCCUCCUUCCUCUAUUCCCAUCAACUCGCCUGUCUCAUUUAAGGAAUAAAAUA